CAAAGCAGUCGUUAAAUACCGGCUGGGGUUUCCAGAACUUAGAGUUGAGGUCCAAAAUGGAUUAAUAAGAUAACAUAAGAAAAAACUUUAUUUGUCUCACAAUAGAGAAAUUCCCAAAUAAAGGUUAUUUGUUAUGUUAUUAUUACAAAUAGUGAGUCAGUUUGGAUUGUACAAAAUGCUGAAAGCUGUGUUUUUUGUUUUUUUUUACACUACCAAGCAGGCACACAAUUUCUUGCCAGUGGAUGUCUCGUAAUAAAUUACUGUCCACUGUGCUAUAUACAAUACAUCCUGAUUUAUAUAGACCUUUCACAACAACUGCAGUUGUAACAAAGCACUUAACAAAACAGUUAA